AGCGAACGCUGGCGGCAGGCCUAACACAUGCAAGUCGAACGGACUCUUCGGAGUUAGUGGCGGACGGGUGAGUAACACGUGGGAACGUGCCUUUAGGUUCGGAAUAAGCCCGGGAAACUGGGUCUAAUACCGAAUGUGCCCUUCGGGGGAAAGAUUUAUCGCCUUUAGAGCGGCCCGCGUCUGAUUAGCUAGUUGGUAGUGUAAUGGACUACCAAGGCUACGAUCAGUAGCUGGUCUGAGAGGAUGACCAGCCACAUUGGGACUGAGACACGGCCCAAACUCCUACGGGAGGCAGCAGUGGGGAAUCUUGCGCAAUGGGCGAAAGCCUGACGCAGCCAUGCCGCGUGAAUGAUGAAGGUCUUAGGAUUGUAAAAUUCUUUCACCGGGGACGAUAAUGACGGUACCCGGAGAAGAAGCCCCGGCUAACUUCGUGCCAGCAGCCGCGGUAAUACGAAGGGGGCUAGCGUUGCUCGGAAUUACUGGGCGUAAAGGGCGCGUAGGCGGACAUUUAAGUCAGGGGUGAAAUCCCAGAGCUCAACUCUGGAACUGCCUUUGAUACUGGGUGUCUUGAGUGUGAGAGAGGUAUGUGGAACUCCGAGUGUAGAGGUGAAAUUCGUAGAUAUUCGGAAGAACACCAGUGGCGAAGGCGACAUACUGGCUCAUUACUGACGCUGAGGCGCGAAAGCGUGGGGAGCAAACAGGAUUAGAUACCCUGGUAGUCCACGCCGUAAACGAUGAUUGCUAGUUGUCGGGCUGCAUGCAGUUCGGUGACGCAGCUAACGC
rnacentral:rRNA from 1 species